GACGAACGCUGGCGGCGUGGAUUAGGCAUGCAAGUCGAACGGUAUCAUCCUUUCGGGGGUGAGAGAGUGGCGAACUGGUGAGUAACACGUAGGUUAUCUACCCUUAAGACGGGGACAACCCAGGGAAACUUGGGCUAAUACCGGAUGUGAGCAACUUUUAGUUGUUUGAAAGGUGGCGUAAGCUGUCGCUUGGGGAUGAGCCUGCGUCCUAUUAGUUAGUUGGUGAGGUAACGGCUCACCUAGGCAAUGAUAGGUAGGCGGCCUUAACGGGUGGUCGCCCACACUGGGAUUGAGAUACGGCCCAGACUCCUACGGGAGGCAGCAGUCGAGAAUAGUCUACAAUGGUCGGAAGACUGAUAGUGCGACGCCGCGUGAACGAUGAAGUCCCUUCGGGGUGUAAAGUUCUUUUAUAUGUGAGUCAGUGCUUCUUAUAUUAACAGUAUGGGGAGAGAGAUAUAGCAUAUGAAUAAGCAACGGCUAACUCGUGCCAGCAGCCGGGUAAAAUCACG
rnacentral:rRNA from 1 species